UCGCGCCACGCUAAAAUACGCCAUAAAAACGGCACACCCCAGGUAUUUCAAUCAGCUCUCCACUGGGUUAGACAUGGUUGGCUUGGCUGCCGAUUGGCUAACGUCCACUGCCAACACCAAUAUGUUCACCUAUGAGGUGGCUCCAGUCUUCGUGCUGUUGGAAUACGUCACGCUGAAGAAGAUGAGAGAGAUCAUUGGCUGGCAGGAUGGCCGCGGUGAUGGAAUAUUCUCC